UGCCGUCUUGCGUUGGGGUGGAGUUUAAGUUCACGACUUCACCUUACUGGGAAUGGUGUGGGAUUUCAAUUUCAAAGGCAGACGACUUGCAUGUCAGAUUACACAACGAUAUAAUAGCUCCUAAUAUCUAAACGGGAUCUGUAUUUUGGACGUCUUCAAACAGAUAUUUUGGUGGAGGUAGUGAUAAUGCCAUAUCUACCAGACUUUAUUCAAAGGAGUAUUAUAUAAUUUCAUCGUUAUACAGGGAUUUGAUAGAUAAUGACGUACCAAUCUCCUUGACCGGCUGACAGACGCCAAUCUCGUUGUUGAUGAACAUGACGGACACCAAGACUGUAUCUGGUCUGAUGGACUCCUCCAACAACUGGGAAGACAGUAACACCAUGUACUUUCAAACAAGAAGAUGUCUGGCAGCACUCAGUAGAGAACGGUACCUGCAUGUUGACAAUGCCGUUAGUCUGCACCGGG